GAGCCUCUUGAAGUAAUCCUUGAAAGCAAAGUUAAGAGCCUGAGUCGGGAAAUAACGAAUGACAUUUGCAGUGUUGCCCCUCCACAAGGCCAUGACGCCUUCAUCCUUUAUUGUGCGAGAGAAGCAGUCCCCAAUUCCCUUGUAGGGCUCAGAAAGACGACCAGACUUGAUCAUCUCAUCCUGAUUCUGGAUCAGUAGCUUCACA
rnacentral:misc_RNA from 1 species